rnacentral:rRNA from 1 species
GGAGGUUACUGCUAUCGGAGUUCGAUUAAGCCAUGCGAGUCUAAAGGUUUCUUCGGAAACCUUGGCGGACUGCUCAGUAACACGUGGAUAACCUACCCUUGGGACUGGAAUAACCCCGGGAAACUGGGGAUAAUACCGGAUAGAUCAGGGAUGCUGGAAUGCACCUUGAUCCAAAGCUCCGGCGCCCAAGGAUGGGUCUGCGGCCUAUCAGGUAGUAGUGGGUGUAACGUACCUACUAGCCAACGACGGGUACGGGUUGUGAGAGCAAGAGCCCGGAGAUGGAUUCUGAGACACGAAUCCAGGCCCUACGGGGUGCAGCAGGCGCGAAACCUUUACAAUGUGCGAAAGCAUGAUAAGGGAACUCCGAGUGCCAGCAUCUAAUGUUGGCUGUCCUUGUGCCUAAAACGCACAAGAUAGCAAGGGCCGGGUAAGACCGGUGCCAGCCGCCGCGGUAACACCGGCGGCCCGAGUGGUAGCCGCUAUUAUUGGGUCUAAAGGGUCCGUAGCCGGUUCGAUAAGUCCUCUGGGAAAUCUGGUUGCUUAACAAUCAGACUGCCAAGGGAUACUGUCGAACUUGAGACCGGGAGAGGUAAGAGGUACUUCAGGGGUAGGAGUGAAAUCUUGUAAUCCCUGGGGGACCAUCUGUGGCGAAGGCGUCUUACCAGAACGGGUCUGACGGUGAGGGACGAAAGCUGGGGGCGCAAACCGGAUUAGAUACCCGGGUAGUCCCAGCCGUAAACGAUGCUCGCUAUGUGUCAGGUACGGUGUGACCGUAUCUGGUGCCGUAGGGAAGCCGUGAAGCGAGCCACCUGGGAAGUACGGCCGCAAGACUGAAACUUAAAGGAAUUGGCGGG